GUGGGUGCCUAACUGGGAUGUGGGUGAGCUGGGUUUGAGCACGGGGUGCUUGUUGCCUUCCCAGCUCAGUGCCCUGGGCUGUCCCUGCAGCCUUGAAGCUCCCCCAGCGCUCUGUAUGGAAUAAUCAGGGCAAGCAGAAUUAUGCAAAAAAUAGGUUUUCAUUUUCCUUUAGCCCUAGCAGUAUUAUUAUUUUUAAUGAGUAGUUUAUUCCUGAUUAUUAGUGCUCUGUUUUAUUAGGCUGUGCUGCUAUUUGUUUAAGGGAUUGCCUUGUGAUCUGUAAGGGAGGAGAAGUGCAUUGCCCUGCAUCUGACUUCAGUUUACACUGGUGGGAGUCAAAAAAAAAAUUUGACUUUUUCUUUAGGCUUUUGGUGCAAUUGGCACAAAGAUUGAUAUUUGGAAACAUAGACGCUGCCUACAUGGUAUGAAAGGUGUUUCUGAGGUGUAUUUCCCUUGAAUUUGGCAGAAAGCAGCAUUUUUAUGCUGUCAGUUUGACUGGGUCUCUUAAUGAACAGCUGUUCCUCACUGGCAGCAACCAGUUUCUUGUGGAUUAUUUCUGAAACAGCAAGAGACAGCAGCAAUCCUUUCUGUUACCCUUGACUAAAGGCUGCCUGUCAAAAUGUUUCUUUAGUCUCUCGUAGCUAGAAUUAGGAUAUUUUUCCCAGCUCAUGAGAAGUAGGUGAUUUCAAAGGAUUUCCCAGCCUGCUUCAGGUUUCCUCCCAAAAUUCUGAUUUGUGAAUUUUGUGAACAAAGAAAAGAAAUCUCUUUCAGGUCAGAUCAACAGAAACCUUUCUUUCAGGUGUUUAUCAGUAGAUAUCCCCACCUGGGCAAUGUUCCAGGAAGCAUCAGUGCUGUUUGGAAGGUCGAGGUGCCCAGUGCUGGUUAUCUGUUUUUUCAUCCCUGCCAAGCUCCUGAGUGUCUUCAGCAGCCAGAAUCAUUUUCAGUGCCUCCUCCUCAAGUCUCUCUGCUUCACUUUUCCUACGUAUGCUCUACAUCUGUCUAAGGCAGUUUUCUUUCUGCUAGUGUUUUCACAAUAUAGAUGAAAACUCCAGCAUAAUUAAAUAAACCAGUGCUGAACCCCCCCAAAGAACAAUUAUCUGUUCUGUGAAAUACUCCCGGCAGAAAUCUUGGAAAACUUACAUGUAAUUAGUACGUCGAGCCCUGCUGCAGAACUAAGUAUAAUGCAUUAGGGCUUGUAGUGCUGACUUCUCUUAGACUCCAGUCGACCAGUGAUAGCAAACCUGUGGGCAGCGUGCAGACUGACUGCAUUUAUGCAUUUACACACGGUUAGUGUAAUAAUUUUUGAAGCUAUUUGAAGUUUACGCUACCCCAGUCUCCAUUAUGCUUGCUAAGCUGUUCUCCCAGUGUGCCCUCACCCUUUAAAUGGCUUUUCUCUGGAUUCUGUGUCUUUGGGGGAAGGAAUGGUCUUGGAGGUGAGAGCGCUGGGCCAGAACUUAGCAGAACUGGAUUAAUGGCACAGCUGGGCUGUAGGCUUCUGUUGAUGAAUCGCUUUGGCCCAGAUCUUAGGAGGUGUCCAGGAGCCCAAAGUGACAGACAGGAUUGUUCCAGGAUACGUGUACAUCCAGCCCUCGCUGAUUGGGAUUGCAUUAGGUGCCUGAAGGCAUCCUCUGUUGUCUGACCCAAGCUAUGGUAAAGUCAACAGAAAGACAAAAGGAAAUCGGUGCCUUUAUAUUAGGUGCUUAUUGAACAUGGAGCCAUCUUAUUUGUAAGCAAGGCUCAGGGGAGAGCUCAAAGCCCUCUGUGAAGCCUGGCAGCGUUAAUGAUGGAGGGUGCUGGGCUGGCAACUCUCUUGUACUUCCUAAAGGGAACAAUUUGCCAAGAGGGGUCACAGCCCUAGAAGUUGUUAGUUCUGUAACAGCGGGUUGAGUUGUCUUUUUUGUUCUUCCAAAUACUUCCAGUGCUUCCCCAAUAGAGGAAAAAAAAAAAACCCAAACACAUAUAUGGACUAGAAAAUCCUAUAGCUCUGCUUUAGAUCAGCUAAUACACCAGCUACCUGGGGGAAAAGAAAUAGUUCUGACAGGGAGUUCUCAUACUAGAUACAUAUUUGGAGUCUUUUUUAUCAUAAAAGAGGAAGAAGCCAUGCUUAAUUCACCACUGGAAAGUACCCAAGCGCUAGGAUGAGAAGGGAGAUGUCUGAAAACUGAUGUAAAGCAGAAUAUUAACACCAGUCUGUGAGCACUACUUUAUCUUGAAAGGACCUAUAAUAAAUAUUUUCAAAGGUAUAAGAUGAUGUGCAUCCACUGGGUAUUAAAAUCUGGAAGGGGACUAGUUUGAAGACGAGCUUUGUAAGGAAGAUGCUCCUCAGGGACAGUGUUGUAGGUUUGGGAUGUGCUUCUUGCCUUUCCUGCAGGUGCGAGCAGGGCUGACACAACCCUUCUGGACUACAAACUGGUGCAGGCAUGUUUCCUGUAAUGUUGGAUGGAAGUGGUGGACCUGAAACAGGAGUGCAGGGAUGGGGAGGGACCGCAGGGAAAGCUUCUCCCUGGGGCAGCCACGUCAAUCUUUGCUAUCACAAUUUCUCACCGCAGCCGGCAGGGGCACGGCCAAACCACAAGACCUGCUGCUAGUCUCUCCUCCUGGGUGAGAUCCUGGUUUGCAUUGGGCUAUCGAGGAGUUCUGCUGUCCCUUGGAGGAUGGAGAGCUGUUCCCUUGUUUCUAUGGGAACACCAGAGGGAAGGAGGAUUUGGUACUGCAGGUUGUCUGAAGUCCUAACCCAGGUGGCUUGCAAUGGCUACAACAUCCAGCAGGAACAAAAACGACGAUGGAUUCACUGUCAGGAUAGGAGUUAGAAGUCCUCUGCCAGGCCUCUUAAACGGAACUGCCCAAUAAUACAGUCACACAACGGAGGAAACGGGUGGGUCUGGGCAGGCAGGUGCAGCUACAGAAAAGGGAGAGCUCUCAGGAGGGCUCCACCUCUGCCUCCUGCCCUCUAACAGAGUGAGCCCAAGGUGAGACCUCCAGCACCCACCAGCGGGCAGUGACUGAGGUCACCGUGCUGGGGCUGCCAGUAGCCAGCUGGAUGCCAACCCCUGCUACGCUUCAGGAACAAAGCUGUGUGUGGAUGAGGCCUUUUGCACCAUUUCUGAGCACAAGAUCCCCGGCCAGGCCUCUGCAGGAGCAGCUGAAUUGUCUCCUGGGCUCUCUUUGGCCCUCCAAUGCGUGAACGCGGAAUGGCAGUGAGGAUCCAGCUCCCCUAACCUGCUAAAGCUGUGGAUGAAAAUGCACAGUGCUGCCCUUGAAGAAGUGGAAUCAGAGGAGUCUGUGAUAGGGGAGCGCAGCAUGGAUAAAAGAAGAAUCUGAAGGACUUUGAACAUGUGAGAGAAUGUGAACAGGGGUGAUCCCAGAAGAGAAAUUCUUCAGGGAAUCAGAAGGAAAAUAGAUGUUAGGGAGGCAGGAAUGAAACUGUUUGAAGUCAGAGGGGGGAAGCUGGAUCUUAGUUUUGAUCAAGAAAAGGCUGAGAGGAGGCUGAGUAAUCUCAAAUCAAAGUACGGGGGAAAUCAAACCUGAACAUUAAACAAUCCACAAAUCUUUCCCUUGAAGAGAUGAGAUCCAAGGACCCAGAAAAGCGAGGUGAGAGGUUUCCUUAGAUCCUUGCAGAGGGACAGCCUCCGCCUGGAGAAGGGGCCAAAAUUCCCCCUGGUCUGAUGGAGAGGGGGAGAGGGAAAGUGGUUGAUGGGACCAAGAAAGUCUGCAAGCCUUGCAGGGCCAGCAGAUUAGCACCAUAUCCCCACUAGAGCAGAAGGGAGAUGUACAGUAAAUGUUUGGGUUUUUUUUCCUUCUUUUUUUUUUCUCCCUUUUAUUUCCUAUCAGGAAUUGUGUUUUCUGUCCUAGAAGUGCCCAGGUCUGGCACUAUCUACAUGGCUGAACCCUUCUCUCAGGUGCUGCCCUGACUCAUGCUGGCUGUAAACCACAGCUUCUCCGGUGAGCCUCCUGCUCAAGCUGUGUGAGUGCACGUGUGUGAGCCGCCCUGCCAAGCUGAUGGGCCGGAGCUUCAGAAUUAACAAUGUUGACUCAGGCCUGAAGACUUUAAAAGAAUUUCUAUCAACAGAUUUUAAAGAUCUUAAAAUAUACAGCUCGAGUAGCCUUAGGUUUCUCAGGCAGCUGCCAAAUCAAACUGAAUAAUAAAAUAAAACUGAAUAAUAAAGUGAUCACACAGUGUAAGAUCAAGACGAGGCCGAGUCAGAAGCACCUCCAGUAAUUACUGGAUUGGGAGCAGCCUCCUGACAAGCCUUGAGUUUCUGCUGACAUGCAAACCGAAAACAGCAACAAAACUUCCCCAAAUGAAAACAUCUCUUCCCUCCCGGCUCCACGUUUACUCUUUUUGCUCUGUGCUGUUGGCACGAGCUGGGUAGCAGAGGUGCCAGGUGGGGCAGGGAGCCCAGGAAGAGGAGAUGCUGCUCAGGAGAGGUGGUGGCCAGGAGGAAAGGGAUGUGGGUGACCAGGGCCAGGUGGACUAUGGGGACACUGGGGUGUCAAAGGAGGGUCCCGCAGAGGAUUAUGCUGAUGGAGGUGUGAACCUGACACCAACCAGCACCGAUCCCUGCUGUUACUCUCAUGCCCACACCUAGGAGGUCUGUCUCCUCUUCUCCUCUCCCCGGAGCUGCCACCACGAGUCUUAGCCACCAGCAUCACCCGUGGCAGGACGGGUCGCUGCCUGUGCCCACACUGCCCCAGCGUUCCCCACCCGCUCUGCACGGAGCCACAGCAGCUUCCAGCCUUCCUCUUCCCUUUAUUGCUGGUUCUGUUGAAAAGCCAGCAAAAAUCAAUAUUAAAAGCCUGGU